ensembl:lncRNA
GGAAACCAACAGAAAGAAAAGCACACACACACAACAGAGAGGAUAGGAUAGCUAGAAAGCUUAAAAGGAGGGGCCUGAAAGUACAUAGAGGAAGAGGAGAAGUGGGAGGUGAGAAGGGUCUGUAGCAUGCCAAAUCGCUUUUGUAUUCAAGAUACUUUGGAGGUGUGCGAAUGAGAGGGAAAAAAACGGGAAAAGGGAGGACUCGAGAGAAAAGACGGAAGGAAGCAAAGACAGACGAGAAGCCGGGGAGCUGAGACCAAUAAGGCACCCUAAUCUAGUAGAAACAGAAAUACACAGAGAAGAGACAACAGAGUCGCCCCUCAAGAACACCUGAUGAAAUAGAGGAAGGAAGGAGAAAGACCCAGUGAGACAGCGAGAUAAUCUUUCUGCAAGGGUUCUCUGAUCUGAACUGGCACCAUAUCGAGGAACCUGAGACAUUUUUGGGCUGAAGCCAGACCUUUCCCUCCUGUUGGUUACUGGAUUAAGCCUGAGAAGGGCUGGGCAGCAUCUGCCAGACUCCUGCUCAUUCAAAAUAAGGUCAAAAAUCAAGUGGGAUCCUGCAUAGAGCCAACUGGGCUAUACAGUAGGCUAUGACUAUAAAUACUGUUGCUGACUCUUCUCUCAUUCUUCUCACCCCCCAAUUGCUGUGUGUGUAUUUGUGUGUCUGUGGGUAUAGUUAUGUGUGAUAUAAUUACUCGCAGUGAACUUUUAUGAUGUCUCUUUAUCUUACUUGGUAAAAACACCAGGUCUGGUUUGGCACUCCCAACUCAAAUAUCAACAA